rnacentral:rRNA from 1 species
GGUUAAGCUAUUAAGGGCGCACGGAGGAUGCCUAGGCGCCAGGAGCCUAAGAAGGACGCGGCGAACAGCGAAAUUGCCUCGGGGAGCCGUAAGCGGGCUUUGAUCCGGGGAUGUCCGAAUGGGGAAACCCGGCUGGGGUCAUGCCCAGUCACCUAUGAGUGAAUACAUAGCUCAUAAGGAGGCACACCCAGGGAACUGAAACAUCUAAGUACCUGGAGGAGAAGAAAACAAGAGUGAUUCCGUCAGUAGCGGCGAGCGAAAGCGGAUUAGCCCAAACCUGAGAGCUUGCUCUCAGGGGUUGUGGGACGUCUCACAUGGAGUUACAAAGGGAUAGGUUAGGCGAAGAGAUCUGGAAAGGUCCGGCAUAGAAGGUAAAAGCCCUGUAGCCGAAAGUCUAUCCCCUCCGAGACGGAUCCCGAGUACCGCGGGACACGAGAAACCCCGUGGGAAUCCGGCAGGACCAUCUGCCAAGGCUAAAUACUCCCUGGCGACCGAUAGUGAAGCAGUACCGUGAGGGAAAGGUGAAAAGCACCGCGGGAGCGGAGUGAAAAAGAACCUGAAACCGUGCGCUUACAAGAAGUCAGAGCCCGAUCUAGGGGUGAUGGCGUGCCUUUUGUAGAAUGAACCGGCGAGUUACGUUUACGUGCGAGGUUAAGUCGGAGAGACGGAGCCGCAGCGAAAGCGAGUCUGAAUAGGGCGCUUUAGUACGUAGUCGUAGACCCGAAACCGGGUGAUCUACCCCUGUGCAGGGUGAAGGUGAGGUAACACUUACUGGAGGCCCGAACUCGUGAGCGUUGAAAAGCUCUGGGAUGACGUGGGGGUAGGGGAGAAAUUCCAAUCGAACUCGGAGAUAGCUGGUUCUCCCCGAAAUAGCUUUAGGGCUAGCCUCGAGAUUUAGCAUCAUGGAGGUAGAGCACUGAUUGGGUGCGGGGCCCGCCAAGGGUUACCAAGUCCAGUCAAACUCCGAAUGCCAUGGAUGUAUGCUCGGGAGUCAGACGGCGAGUGCUAAGAUCCGUCGUCAAGAGGGAAAGAGCCCAGAUCAUCAGCUAAGGUCCCCAAGUGUGUGUUAAGUGGGAAAGGAUGUGGAGUUGCGAAGACAACCAGGAUGUUGGCUUAGAAGCAGCCACCAUUUAAAGAGUGCGUAAUAGCUCACUGGUCGAGUGACUCUGCGCCGAAAAUGUAACGGGGCUAAACACACCACCGAAGCUAUGGCAUGUACCUUAGGGUACUUGGGUAGGGGAGCGUUGAAUGCGGGUUGAAGUCGGACCGAGAGGACCGGUGGACUGCAUUCAAGUGAGAAUGCCGGUAUGAGUAACGAAAAGACAGGUGAGAAUCCUGUCCGCCGAAAGCCUAAGGGUUCCUGAGGAAGGUUCGUCCGCUCAGGGUAAGUCGGGACCUAAGGCGAGGCCGAAAGGCGUAGUCGAAGGACAACAGGUUGAAAUUCCUGUACCACCGUAAUCCGUUAUGAGCGAUGGGGGGACGCAGGAGGGCAAGAACGCGAGCUGAUGGAAUAGCUCGUCCAAGCAGUGAGGGGUGUGUGUAGGCAAAUCCGCACACUAAUACCUUGAGCUGUGAUGGGGAGGGAAAAUUACAGUACCGAAGGUUCCGUGCUCACGCUGCCGAGAAAAGCCUCUAGCCAGGAGAAGGUGCCCGUACCGCAAACCGACACAGGUAGGCGAGAAGAGAAUUCUAAGGCGCGCGGAAGAACUCUCGUUAAGGAACUCGGCAAAAUGACCCCGUAACUUCGGGAGAAGGGGUGCCUCGGUAGGGUGAAUAGCCCGAGGGGGCCGCAGUGAAUAGGCCCAAGCGACUGUUUAGCAAAAACACAGGUCUGUGCGAAGCCGUAAGGCGAAGUAUACGGGCUGACGCCUGCCCGGUGCUGGAAGGUUAAGGGGGAGCGGUUAGGGGCAACCCGAAGCUGUGAACCGAAGCCCCAGUAAACGGCGGCCGUAACUAUAACGGUCCUAAGGUAGCGAAAUUCCUUGUCAGGUAAAUUCUGACCCGCACGAAUGGCGUAACGACUUGGGCGCUGUCUCAACGAGAGAUCCGGUGAAAUUUUAGUACCUGUGAAGAUGCAGGUUACCCGCGACGUGACGGAAAGACCCCAUGGAGCUUUACUGUAGCUUGAUAUUGAACUUGGGUACGGUCUGUACAGGAUAGGUGGGAGCCUUUGAAGCCUGAGCGCAAGCUUAGGUGGAGGCGCCGUUGGGAUACCACCCUGAUCGUAUCUAGGUUCUAACCUGUCACCGUGAAUCCGGUGAAGGGACCGUGUCAGGCGGACAGUUUGACUGGGGCGGUCGCCUCCUAAAGCGUAACGGAGGCGCCCCAAGGUUCCCUCAGAAUGGUUGGAAAUCAUUCGAAGAGUGCAAAGGCAUAAGGGAGCUUGACUGCGAGACCUACAAGUCGAGCAGGGACGAAAGUCGGGCUUAGUGAUCCGGUGGUACCGAAUGGAAGGGCCAUCGCUCAACGGAUAAAAGCUACCCUGGGGAUAACAGGCUUAUCUCCCCCAAGAGUCCACAUCGACGGGGAGGUUUGGCACCUCGAUGUCGGCUCAUCGCAUCCUGGGGCUGAAGUAGGUCCCAAGGGUUGGGCUGUUCGCCCAUUAAAGCGGUACGCGAGCUGGGUUCAGAACGUCGUGAGACAGUUCGGUCCCUAUCUGUCGCGGGCGUAGGAAAUUUGAGAGGGGCUGUCCUUAGUACGAGAGGACCGGGAUGGACGCACCGCUGGUGUACCAGUUGUUCCGCCAGGAGCAUCGCUGGGUAGCCAAGUGCGGGAGGGAUAAGCGCUGAAAGCAUCUAAGCGCGAAGCCCGCCUCAAGAUGAGAUUUCCCAGUAUGUAAGACCCCUUGGAGAACACGAGGUUGAUAGGCUCGGGGUGUAAGCAUGGCAACAUGUGUAGCUGACGAGUACUAAUCGGUCGAGGGCUUAUCCUA